rnacentral:lncRNA from 1 species
GCUUUCCGUAUGGAUGUUUUCAACCUCAUUUGUUUUAACAUAGAUAGUGUUGAAACUUAUGAAGUGUUCGGUGGCAUUUUCAACUCCAUAUUUACUCAUCAUGGUCCUCUCUACUAGUUUCCCUGCAAAAUUUGAACGUAAAAACGGUAAGCAUCAGAAGUUCUGAUUUCUAGACAAUUAUUGGAGUAAAGUACAUGGAUAGUCCUUGUCAUUAACCAUAUUUUUGGAUUUGGUCCAUAGCUUUUCAAAAGUACAAAGUGCAAACCACAGGGACGGCAUGUGUACUUUUGGAAAUCUAGGGAGUAGGGACCAAAUCCAAAAUUUUGGUCAACCACAGAGACUAUCCGUGUACUUUAACUCUUUAAGUCUUUACUCCAAUUAUUGUGAUAAACCGGAGAAAAUGAUACUAACCAAUUUCUUCGGUUUCUCCCUUAAGCAUUGUAGUUUGGUUUGCUACACCAGCUUUGACUAGAUCAGUGUCGGGAUCGAAACCCUUGGAAACUGCGUAUUUAAAUUUCUGCAAGUAUCCAAAAUUUUGUAACUGUGUUAAGAUCUUUAAAACAUAAAUAAGAAAUCAGUAAUUAUUAAUAAAUAGGAUUUAACAAGUAUAUACCUCCAGAAAAGCUUCUUUAGUUGAGCUAGAUCCGUUAAGUUUACCACCAAGGAUGUAAUCACACACAUAUGUCGCCUACGCGACAUAGAAAAGAAAACUCGUUAGUUCAGAUGUAAGAUGGUGGAUAAGGUGGUGUUAGUUUUCUAAGACGUUACUGACGGAAAUCCGAAAACAUCUUCUAAACUAUGAAAGGCGGUGCUGAAAUAUGAAAGUAUAAUCAUUUUAGAAGUUUUGCUUUCGUAACUAAAUAAAUGUUUGAACUUUGAAUGUUUGUAGUUGUCUAUUUUCCCCUUCAAUUUAGAGUUAAUUACGUUUUUGUCCCUGUGGUCUGUUGAAAAUAACAGUUACAAUCCAUUAGUUUAAAAGUUGCCAUGGCAGUAGCUUGGUUUACUAGUGUUGCUUUGGCAAUUUUUAAACUAAUGGAUUGUAAUGGGUAUUUUCAACAAACCACAGGGACGAAAAACAUAAGUAACCAUUUGUUUAUAUAUUGUUUUUCAAAGAGGGGUAUUUUGGUCUUUUCACCAAAAACUUAACGGUAAACUGGAUGGGGUUAACAGAGAUGGACUGUAAUUGUCAUUUUCAACAAACCACAGGGACAAAAAAAACAUAACUAACUCUUAACUCAUUAUACUCAAAACACAAAUUUCAUUUGAAGUUUCAUGAAAUGUUCAUAAAUAUUUUAAUGAUGUGGAUGACUGCAACAGCAUUAAAGAACAAG